ACUGAUGACGUAAUUUGAACGCGACACUACUUAUUGCUGCGUAGAGACGUAACUGAAGCGCAAAUUAAAGAGAAACCAAAAGAAAAAAACAUAGCGCAAAAAGUAAAAUGUGUCACAAGCCACAGUUUUUAAAUUGGCCUUAUAUUUGUGAUAUUUUCAUUUUGUCAUCAUUAAUAACCUUCAGCUCACUACAUAACCAGCUAAGCAGUGAAUCCUUGUCCACUGUGCCUGGUGCGCGGUCUCCUCCCACUUCUGUCGUCAAAGGAGGAAUUGUUAGCUUGUCUGUUAGCAUGCUAGCUAACUGCGUUCAACUAUGCUAAUGGGUGGCAGAAGAUCAUAGGAAAGAGGAUGAUACAGCAAACCUUCAGUUGAAACUGUUGCGAAAUGGAUUUACCAAAUUGACAAUCGAAGAGGACUAAAACCAGAACAAGGAUUUUGUUGUAGAAGAUGCUCUAGUUGCGUUUUCUUUAUUAGACAAUCAAGCAGACUAAUAAGCGCUCCCGUUUGUCAACGUUUGUCCCAGUAUGAUGGAGGUGAUGUCGUAUGACAGUAGUUUGUAUGAUAUUAUCUAGCCAACUGCUAUCGUCGUAUGAUAAUGUCAGUAUCAGACCUGAAUUUGGAACAUAGAAAUAUGUGUUUUGGUAACGUAUGCGUUGAAUCGUGCUUAACACGCACAUGCACUUCUGCAUGUAUUUCAGACAUGUCAGUUCGCAGGCAACCUAGCAAUCGCUGACCUGGGAAAGUAUUUUAGCAUUGUAGCUAGCUUGUAGGCACCUACCUGCCUAGUUAGCAUUAGAGUAUUUUUGUUAAGCUUUGCACACAAAAUCAGUUCGAUUUCAUUGUAGCUGAUCAUUGUCAUCACACUAGCUGGCAAAUUUUAUUUUGACCUGUGAUUACUAAAACGGGCUGUACUGUUUGUUAGAUAGCGUUCUGCUAACUACGUCAGUCCUUAAACCGGAGCUCGUGCGCUAGCCGACACUUUUUACUAAAGCACAGUUACAUUUGCCUCUCUCUACCUAGUGAAGACACAGUUUUAUGAAAUGCAUCACGCUGAAUCAUCUGGGGAUUCUCCCGGGGCCAAGAAGAUGGCGCACGCAUCUGUUUUUACCAGUCGUAGGGGCAGUAACACGGGAAGUGGUGGUACGUCUGCCUCGUUGAACGCAGUCAGCAUGAACUGUAAUGCCAUCCCGACUGAUGACCACCAAUCAUCACUAUUAAUCCACCAUACACCCCCCGCUGGAUCAUCCUCACCAAGCCCUCAUCAUCCUUCCACCAGCCUGAAUGUACACACGCAGUCUCACCAAAGUGCUGGGGCCCAAGUAAAAAAGAAGAGUGGCUUCCAGAUUACAAGUGUUUUACCGGCACAGGUUAAUGCUAGCACUAACAACAGUAUAGCAGAUGAUACAGAGAGCUAUGAUGAUAUGGAUGAAUCACAUACUGAGGAUCUAUCCUCUUCUGACAUUCUUGAUGUGUCUGUGUCACGGGCCACUGACACAGGGAUUCCUGAGAGAAGUUCUUCAGAAGAAACACUAAAUAGUCUACAUGGAGGAGAGACUCCUGGAGUUAUAUCACCCAAUGAAACAGUGAAUCCUCACCUGCACUCUGUUCAGCCAGGAUAUAUGGUGAAUGGGAAUGUUCAUCACCAUAGCCAUCAUCCUCCUGGACACUACAAGGACCAGGGGGUGACCUCAGUGGCUUCACCACAACAACCAUUUCAAGGGGUACCUGUGUGCUCUGCAUUACUAAACAGCAGUGCUCCAUCUGCAGGCACCACUGUGCAAUCUGUUGCUACUGUCCAGAAUAGAACCCAAAGAUCUGCUUCAGUCCAAGCUGCUGCUGUUGAUGUUAGUGCCACUGGAAGAGCAAACCAGACCAUAUUGUCAGCAUCAGGCUCUACAUGUGGUGCCAGUGGAGCUGGGAUGCCAGGGGGUGGGAUUGGGUCAAAUGCUAUUGGAGGAGGCCUCCUUGGUGCAACAGUGCCUGCAGGAAACAGUACAACAGGAAUUACAGCAACAGCUGUGCAGCCUCCUCCAGCCUCCAGCACCACUCAAAAUCAGGCUUCCACAGCAAUUGCGUCCCGUUUCAGGGUGGUGAAGCUGGACUCCAGCUCAGAGCCCUUCCGAAAGGGACGGUGGAUGUGCACAGAGUAUUAUGAGAAAGAAGCUCCUGCUGCAACUCCAUUUGCAGAUGCAGCACCUACCUAUCGAGCUGUGGAGAGCUUAAUCCAUUCUGAGAGUGAAAGCACAAGUGGAGGUUCAUCUAGUAGCACAAUGAGUGGUGCAGGAGAUCAAGGAAUACAGCCUACCCAGCAGACAUUUGUACAGCCUGCUGUCCCUGUUCACCCAAGUCUUCCUCAAACAACCCCCCAACUUCAUACACAUUCGCAAGAUACUGGAAUGCACACUCUUGCUUCACCACCUGUAGCCUCCCCUAACAACCCACAGGUUGUUUCAGUCCCAAGUCUAUUAGGAACUGAGGGUCAGCCUCCCCCUCCCAGGGCCCAACAGCAGAUCUCCUACAUCGUAGAGGGCCACACAGGCCAUUUGAAGAGUGGCUACCCUGUAAAUCAACAGCCCUCUAUGCUCAUGAACCAGGGUUUGCAGUCAGUAGAUUAUGCCCAGAUUUCACAGGGCAUCCAAGCCCCAGCUCAGUCUCAUCAGAUGCUGCCAGUUCAGAGCAGUAUAACACCUAGGGCUACCCCAGGACCUAGCCUUCCAGUUGGGACUCCCACAAUGGCUGUCCCACCGUCUGUAUCUCCAAGGCCCCAAGUUCCAGUUCCACAAAUGGUGUUGGCCCAAGGAAGCACAAUAAAUCAGGUCCAGCAACAUCAAACACAAAUGCCUCCAGAGCAGCAACAGCAGGCCACUGCUAAUCAGCCACCCCAACCAACAUCCUCGACUACAGGCAAGACUGCAUCUAGUAUACCUUCGUCUUCUCUUCAGAGCAGUAUUCAACCAGGCAUUCCUCCUUCCCUCCCGCAUGGAGGUCCUGUUGGUGGUCACUCUGGUGGGCUAGAUCUGACCUUGAAUCACCAGGGAAGCCAGUCCUCCCAGCUUCCCAUAGCAAGAGGCCCUUACAGUGGUGUAACUCGUCUGACUGCCUCCCAGCUCGAAGAUGCUGGGCGUCUACUUUUCCAACACCAGUCCCUACUUUCUCUGCCUCGGCUAGCAACAGGCGGUGUGUUGGGGCUUGCUGGACAGUGUGGCUCUGAAGCAAGUGCCAGUAUUGGACAAGAGGGCAGUGCCAGUGGAGAUGCCGGUGCUUUAGCCACAUCUGCAGGCACAGAUGAGGACAGGUCAUCAUGCACAAAAAAAAAGUUGUGUUUUUUUCAGGAACAGUUAAGGUUGUGUUCCAUAAGGGGCCACUGGGAGAUCUCCUUCAGGAGCCAACUGAGGAGGCCAGGCUGAUCAAAAAUAACCCGUGUCUGCAGGACAAGUCAGCACCAGUGAAGGAGGAGCUUGUCAGACAAAAUGCUCUGACUGUGGUCCGUCAGAAAGAAGGUGACAUCUCGGACAGGAGAGAAAUUUAUGGUGAAUACAUCCUGCAGUUUGGCAAAUACAAGGGGAAGUCCUUCUGGUGGCUCCUUGAAAAUGAUAUGGGGUACCAUCUACCUGAUGAAAAACUUUGAGCAGGAAGAGGCUGCGAGAGUCUUCAUGGCAGAGGGGCACAGCAAGAACAGUCUGUUGUCCUUUGUCAAUUAUGCUCACAGCUUUGAGUAAAUCCAGUCUCUUGUUAGGUAUGUGUCCAAAAUUCCAGCUGCACCAACAUCCUCAUCGGAGGAUGACCAGCUGGUUGGAUUCGGAACUCGUGCAAAGAGUACAUGGCGGGAGAGUUGGAACAGCUGGGCUGAUGGUUAUGCUUCCUUCAUAACGGGGGCAGCCUGUGUCCCAGGGACACAGACGUACAAAAUGCAGCAGUACCUGUGGAAUCGGCAGCAGUCAGCCCGUCUGCCUGUGCUUGCCUCAAGUGCCACAUCUGAGCCCAAGGAGAUGGAUGAAGAUGAUGAAUUGGAGAGUGCAAUGCUGAACAUCUCCCCCUCCAAGCUACGGGAGCAGUCUCCACCAUCACCACCAUCAUCAUCCUAAGCUGCUGAACUGAGACAGUCUACGGAAACAGGAAAAGUGUUUUGGCCAUGUUUCACUAACAAAUGUGUGUGCCGUUGGCAAUAUAUUAGUUGCCUAUGAAUUGAUUCCUCAACCAUGAUGAACUGAUACCAGCCACAAUUAGGAUAAGUACUCUUUUUUUUUAAUUAAUAUUAUUAUUAUUUUUUAUAUUUAUUGUUAAGUUUUAAAUAUUUCUGUCUACUAACACAUGAUGAAAUGUAUGUACUUGCAUUUUGCCUUUUAACAUCCCUUGCUUCAGUCUGAAAUGAUUGUGGACAUUCCUUGAGCAGGCAUAAUGUAUCCUUUUAAUUUGUAGUACUAAGAUAAGCAGGUGAAGUAAGAGUAGGGUAAUUUGAACCUUUUAUUAACACAAAUGACAAGAGUUUGUAUCCUGAAAUACCAUCUGCUGCCCUCUCCAUACCACCUGCUGACACUAAAAAGAAACCAGUUGAUGGUAAAUAUAUUAUAAUUGUGCCCAUCUAUUCAAACAUCUGUCUCGAUUACUGUGGUACUGUUUUUUUUGUUCUUUGUUUUUGUGUCUUUUCCUUUUAACACCAGUCUUGCCAGCUCUGAAAUCGCCUGUGCCCCUUCCUAAAGAGCUGAUGUUUCUUGUGCCAGAACAAUCACGUUCCACACACACUGAGAGAACGGUUUCAACUACAGAUAAUUGCUAAUAGAGAAAUGGUACUCUGUUCAGGAGACAGCAGCAUCAUAGACAGCUCUCCAGUGUGCAGGACACUUACUUUUGGGGAAUGUGGCAAAGAUGAAAAUCUCUCAUUUUCAGAGACCACUUCACAUAGUGUCCCACGCAUAGCUGAGGCAUCACAUGAGCCAUUCUCCCCUUGGUUCUUCAGUGUGCAGCCCACCGCCUCUGCAACAGACAGGUCAAAUAAUGGAGGAGGAUGAGGAACUGGAGAAGAUGAUGCUGAGUCUGUCUCCACCCAAAUGUCCUACACAGCAGAGGUCACCUGCAGUCACUGGGUGUCCAGUCUUCUCUGCAGCAGGAGAUUACUUUCCACAUCAGUUUUGCAGGCUUAUUCUAUUAUCCACAGUUUUAUUUAUUGUUUUGGCAGUGUUCUUGCCUGCUCUAAACAUUGUGUUCUUUUGUUCUACUAACUAAUGUUAAAGGUUGAACAUACUGGUGAUGAGGUUCUGCCGCAGCCACCACCAACACCACAUACGGUCUGCCAUCCUCACAUACCACCACCUCGUGUGCCUAGCACUUCGUCUCAGUGUAAAGCCCCUGCAUCACUGUCCGGAGUACCACCACCAGCUGUGCAGUCAGUACCCGCAGCACCUCUUACCAGCUGUGCAGUCAGUACCUGCUGAACAUGCACCAGUGCCCUCCAUACAGACAGGAGCCCCUGUGUACAGUGACAUGCAAGAUAUUAGCCACUGGAACUGCUCCUGCCAUCAAAAAAUCUGGAUGAAAACAGAGAUGGAAGCCGUGGGGCUCUGGCCACGAUCACGACCAGUGAGACAUCCUAUGAACAUGGUUUCCUUGUGGCAUUAUCCUCCUCAGCCUGAGCUUGUAGAAACCAACACAGGCCUGCCAUCAGCAAAAUACUUUCAGCUCCAUCCCUUCUUCAUCUGGAAACUGGAGCACAGUAUAAUGGAAAGGCUCAGAAACAAUUACAUCCUGCCUUGUCUCUACAGCUGUCCAAACCCUUAGGUUGUUUACUCUGGUGUAGAAAGAGUGAUUCUUGGUCCCAGCGGGUAAUAUUACAUCUUUUCCUCUUGACUGUGCUGUAAAGCAUGCAAAAAAUACUGGUUCACUGAUAAACCCCAGUGGCUAGACAUGCUGCCAAAGCAUUUCCGUAACCUCUUGCCAGCCUUCCUCACCCAUAAGAAGGCCUACCUAGCCUACCUGCUCAGCGUGCAGAACAUCAGGGAUGUUGAGGCAGGGCUGUAUGGACAGAGGACUAUCACUGGAGCACUGAGGAAGAAUGACACACCAGCACCGUUUGGGGGUUACGAGGACACUGAUUGGUGGCAUGGGGUGUCUGUGACUGCACACUAUCUGGUGGAGUGCCUUCUUCAAGAAUAUCAGCGGCAGGAGGCAGCUCUCACUCAGGUCCUACAACGCACCUUUGGACAGGUGUUCAGGUCUGAUCACACAUGUCUCAUCUGGCACAAUGUCAUCCUACACUGUGAUUAAUGAGAACUGGUUGAUCCUGUCCUGGGUGAUGCUGCAGUCUGAGAGUGAGCAGUCCUUAGUGUCAAUGUACUGUGGGCUGGCCAAUCGCUAUAGUGCUGCUGGUAUCCCCAAGGCCAAGUACCAGUGGGUAGACAGGGGCUGCUGUGCUGCUUUCAGAGUCAUGGACCCAGCACCUUAUGAGCACCUGCAGUGGGAUGCCUGGAGGACCACUGAAGCUAUCGUGGCAGAGGUUACUGCAGGGAACCUCAAGAAUUUAUGUGCCUCUUGCCUGAAGUACAAUGAGGACAUCAUUGUUAAACUGGACUUAUUUCACUGUAUGCGGCGGUUCACCGGGGAGUGUGUGUCAGAGCACCAUCCUCUGUAUAGCUCCUUCUGCCUUCUCCUCUCUGCUGCCUUCUCUGUAGUGGAUCAGAGUGACCUGGAGAAAUUGAAAAAUGCAUACAAAUUCUGUGGUAUUGAGCCUGCUAAUCCCACCAAGCAGCAUAUCAGAGAGCACUGCAGGACAAAAGACAUCCCAGAGAACUGGUCCAGAGAGGUGGAAGAGGUGCUUCAACAUUUCCAUCUGGCAAAGGAUCCCAACAACAUCCUCCUUUUUAAACCCUCAAUGCUAAAGGUCUGGUGGAUUCAGCAUAUACACAUGAGGCUGUCUUAGUGACCCUGAAGUGGAGGGAGGAAUCCUCUACAGAUAUGGGGGAACCUUACAGCUCAAUCAUGUAAAGGGUGAAGGAGCUGGUGUGCCCAUUUGGAUCCCUGUCAGAGGCACCUCACAGCAGGAGGGGUUUCAUUUCCACCCAACUCAGUGGGUAACAGGCAAACGUGUCUCUCCUGAGCUGUUCCAGGCACAGGGAAUGAUUGAGGUGUCACGCUGUAAUUAUCAGUGGCUGGUGGACCUGAAGCAGCCGGGGGUCAUCCUGCCUGCAGUGUUUGGCCCUGUGUUAAUGAUAGAGUUAAACAGGGCCUCUGUGAGAGUGACAGGGCAGCCCAAAUAUCCAGCCUUGCAUAUCUGCAACAGGGACACAGGAGAGAGGUUUGGCCUACAGUAUGUGGAGCCAGGCUGUCGACCAGUGCCUCUUGACUUUGACAAACAUAAGUGCAAGAAGUCUGUCCUAGGAGAUGUGGAGAUUGAAGAGGAGUCUUCAUCUGGCUUUGAGUCCUCAAUUCCAUCUAAGGAAUGGUUAGAUGAUUACUCUUCUGCUGAGACCCCUCUUGCUGCAGAAACAGAGGCCACCCCACAGAUUGUCUUGUUUCACCAGGUUUCCACUCCAAGUCCUGUGACAGUAAAGGAACAAAGGUCUGAGGAAUUUCUGUUAGAUGCAGAACUGCUGAGCACCCCACCACUGCCUAUAGCUGCUUCUCCCCGUGCAGCUCGCAUUGGACCCAUUAAGACAGGUGGUCGAGUCUUUGUCUUGGAACACAACAGAUGGACGGAUCCAAUGAAAAAUGCCAUUGAUGGUCUCCUGGCCAAGCACCACGGGAGCAAGGAUCUCCUUAAAAGGGUGGAUGCUGAUUAUGCUGCUAUGGUACAGAGUGCCUGCACUGACCCCAACAGCCUCCUGCACUCAAUCACAAAACAACACAUAAGCAUGUACAUAAAACACCUUGCUAAAAAAAAAACAA